rnacentral:rRNA from 1 species
AGCCCUUGACAUCCUGUGUUACCCAGAGAGAUUUGGGGUCCACUUCGGUGGCGCAGAGACAGGUGCUGCAUGGCUGUCGUCAGCUCGUGUCGUGAGAUGUUGGGUUAAGUCCCGCAACGAGCGCAACCCUCGCCCUUAGUUGCCAGCAUUCAGUUGGGCACUCUAAGGGGACUGCCGGUGAUAAGCCGAGAGGAAGGUGGGAUGACGUCAAGUCCUCAUGGCCCUUACGGGCG